GAGAACACUAGGCAACUGAAAAACUACAAGUAUGUUGAGAUAUAAAGGUCUUAUUUGUUCUUUGUGAAUGUCUAUGACGUUAAGGCAAACUUUCUAGAUAUGCACUAUAUGUACAUCAAAGAAAACACUGCUUAAAUUAUAUUCUUCAAAGAUUUGAAUAAGUACAACACAUAGGAAGAAAUUAUCUGUAAUAUCCAUCAUGUUGAGUCUGUCACAGUUAUUUUAUGAGCACCAUGCUGAUGUUUCUGCUGUGGUAAAAACCUAAAAAAAAUUGUGACUGAAUAAAUACAGUAUUUUACACAUUUUACUGACAUACAGUUUACUAAUGUUUUCAUGCAAGAGAAAAAACCAUACGGGCUGUACAAAAUCUUGCAACAUUGAUGGUCAAAGUGCAGCUAAAAUUUUAAGAUUUAUUUUCUAACUUCAUAGCUGCAACUCUGUAUACUGUGCACACAAACAAUUGUAUUGUUAUUUGCACAUGUAUUCUCCAGGUUUUCAAGCUACAGUAGCCAACAGGAGCGUUGCUGUGGGAAGCACAUCAUCCUGAGUUCUUCCGCUCUUCUCGUCCACUUGGAAAACUGCAUAACCUGACAGCCCACCUACAAAAUGACCUCUCUUGGAGUUUCCGUGACAACAGUUCCAACUUUGCAGAUCCUGAUGUCACCACAUACCUCCCCAGUAUUUCUGAACUUGUUGACACGAUCACUGAACAAGCACCAGCCAAGGCAGUGCAGGACAUGUUGAAGUACUUGGUGUAUGAGGACUGGCUCCUGGAGCUUUUGAAAAUCUGCCCCACCUGCUCCAGACUCUGUGAAGUUGACAUGUUUGUUAAAGGAACAUUCCUCUCUGUAACCCAGAAGUGCCUCUACACAUGUGUCUCUUCCUCAAGACUCCACAGCCCUGAUAACACCUGCUGAGAGUGAAAGGAGGGGAGAGGACACCAACUAGAGAACCAAGAACUAUGAGGACGGGAGGAAGCCAAGUUAGUAGCAUACAUGUGUGGGAAUGGAUUUGUACAGACAGAGAGGGAAUGGAGUAACGUAUUAAAAGUGUAUUAAAUAAAUGAAAUGACUUUAUAUAAAAUACAUGUCCAAACAUAACAAUACAUUAACUUGGAAAUCAUUUUAAUUGGAGGCCUAAAACCGGUGUACUCUUCCUCUUCAUCAGGGUACUCCUGGUGGAUACGGACAACAACGCAGGAAGGUAUCACUACCCGGUUGUGCUUUCCCAGGUAUCCCCAGCACCAGGAAACAAAGGAUGCCAGCACAUCAUGAUCCCUAGAAGAUGAAAGAUGGAUCAACCUGCAGCUUGCCUGAAAUCUAUUUGGCUGUAUGGAUUGGCCUGGACAUCUGUUUUUUUUCUUUGUUUGCUUUUUUCUGAUUUAUUUGGCCUUGGUGGAUGACUGCUCUCUACUGAGUAUAUUCUCUAGUCAUUUUUGGAUGUUCACUAACUUGUGUUUGUACUGUCUAGAACUUUUGUGAAUGUAAAACAUUUUUUUUGAUUAUUUACAUUUGUCUGUAGGCACCACCGAGUGUAGGCUUUUUAUUUAUAGCUCAGAGACACUUUACAUUCUAAUUGUUUGGCUGUGCAUUGAU